rnacentral:rRNA from 1 species
GACGAACGCUGGCGGCGUGCUUAACACAUGCAAGUCGAACGCUGAAGACCUGGCUUUUGUUGGGUUGGAUGAGUGGCGAACGGGUGAGUAACACGUGAGUAACCUGCCCUCUUCUUUGGGAUAACGCCCGGAAACGGGUGCUAAUACUAGAUAUUCACUGGCCUUCGCAUGGGGGUUGGUGGAAAGGUUUGUUCUGGUGGGGGAUGGGCUCGCGGCCUAUCAGCUUGUUGGUGGGGUGAUGGCCUACCAAGGCUUUGACGGGUAGCCGGCCUGAGAGGGUGACCGGUCACAUUGGGACUGAGAUACGGCCCAGACUCCUACGGGAGGCAGCAGUGGGGAAUAUUGCACAAUGGGCGAAAGCCUGAUGCAGCGACGCCGCGUGAGGGAUGGAGGCCUUCGGGUUGGAAACCUCUUUCGCUCAUGGUCAAGCCGCAACUGUGGGUUGUGGUGAGGGUAGUGGGUAAAGAAGCGCCGGCUAACUACGUG